GCAUCACAAAGAGAACCCAUUUUUUCCCCGUCAUAAGGUCAAGCGUCAAAAUGGUCCGAUGUUAUGUAUCCGACGUUGUUUUUCCCGAAAACAAGCUCCUUCCUUCCUCCUCACUUGCAAGCAACUGAAAAACACCUUCUAUCAUUGAUUUAUUCUUUGUUUGUAUAAAAAUUUCAAAAAAGAACAGCUUUUUUUUUUUCAAGAAAAUGCAAGUAAUACCGAAAUGGCGUAACGUGUUGAUUUUGAAGAAUACAUUUAUUCAAUCCACAAGAAUUAUAGCUUCCACACAACUGCCAAAUACCCAAUUGGCUUCUUUUCAUUCUACAGCAAUUUUCUCUGAGAAAUGGAAAAAUAAGUGGAAUUCAGAGUUUAGAGGAAAUCAGCAGCCAACUAAGAAUUAUAUCAGAUAUGAAACACGUCAAAAGCGUGCUGACUCCAAAAAAGCUUUGAAAAAUCUUCUCUUUUACGGUGCAUCUGGAAACUCUUUUGAGAAUGAAGUAAAUGAUAGAUGGGAUGUGGAUCGGGAUGAUCGUUCAGAGAAGAAACGUGAAUAUAAGUCCACUGCUCGUCGUAGAGAUCGCUUAAGGAGAAGGAUGCGAAAAAUGAAGAAACGGAGAUUAUCUGAAGAUUACGAUGAGUUUCCUGAGACAGUAUUCCAAGCAAAUUUUUGUAAUAAGUGGUACACUUGGUCUUUUAGGCCUGGUAAAUCAUCUACCUUUGAAGAUCUAUUCUCCCGAAGACAAGAAACAGACUGGUCAGAACAAAGGCAUUUUAGAUGGGAUACUGAAACUAAUAAUGAUACUGAGACAGAAUCCAACUAUGAAUCGUGUAAUGUAGGGUGUUACUCUGAAAGAACAAUUCUCGGUUUGCCUCCACGAGGUCCCCUGAAGAUUGAGGAAGUCAAGAAUGCUUUCCGUUUAUCAGCUUUGAAGUGGCAUCCUGAUAAGCAUCAAGGCCCUUCACAGGUGCUGGACCCAUGAGGGAUUUGUAGAAGGAGAUUAUUUCUUCACUAACAGCUGCAGGUUCCACCAAUUUCGCCCCACCAUCAGUAGCAGCAGCAGAAGAGAAAUUCAAAUCUUGCGUCACUGCAUACAAGUCAUUGUGCAGUGCAUUCUCCCCAGCUUAACCUUUAUCUGACGUAUCCAUGGGUUCGUUUCCUCGAGUAUCAGAAGCCAAAACCACCAUUCAUAGUAUUAUUAGCUAGCUCAUUAUUAAUGUAUUCUAAUUUAGUUCGAUAUGAAUAUUUCCUUCACUCUGGCAAUGAGGGCUCUUGUCUUUCCUAGCAGUCAUGAAAACUUAAUAAAACUUUGGAGUCUUGUAUACCAUCAAAGAUACAUGCAGCAUAAUCUAGUUGGUUGUUUUUUUUUUUUUAAUGGAGGAAAGACAUCAAAACACUUAUGAACU